GGACCCGCACAAGCGGUGGAACAUGUGGUUUAAUUCGAAGCAACGCGAAAAACCUUACCAGGGCUUGACAUCUAACAAACCUCUGUGAAAGCAGGGGGUGCUCUUCGGAGAAUGUUAAGACAGGUGGUGCACGGUUGUCGUCAGCUCGUGUCGUGAGAUGUUGGGUUAAGUCCCGCAACGAGCGCAACCCUCGUCGUUAGUUGCAUAUAUCGGUAUACUGAUAUAGUGCUCUCUAGCGAGACUGCCGGUGAUAAACCGGAGGAAGGUGGGGAUGACGUCAAAUCAUCAUGCCCCUUAUGUCCUGGGCUACACACGUGUUACAAUGGCCGGUACAAUGAGCCGCGAACUCGCAAGAGUAAGCAAAUCUCUAAAAACCGGUCUCAGUUCGGAUUGGACUCUGCAACUCGAGUCCAUGAAGUCGGAAUCGCUAGUAAACGCAGAUCAGCACGCUGCGUUGAAUACGUUCCCGGGUCUU
rnacentral:rRNA from 1 species